ACUCGAAUGAGAGUUUUCAGAAAUCCUAAAUUGAAUAGAUCUGGUAUCACAAGCAGAGAUAAACUGCAGCUGCAGCUUCGCCUGAGGAACCCAGGGUCUGAACUUCUUGUUUGAGCCACAGAAGCUGGAACUUUUUCUGUGGACAAUAAGUCAGGAUGUCAGAUAUUUCUGUGAAUGACCACCUUGAGGGGAUAUUGUCUGAUUUUGAGGCCCUGAAGAGAUCCUUUGAUAUUGAUGAUGUCGAUGAGAUCCCGACGUUCUCGCCGACCUCCUCAGUCACAUCCCCCAUCAGCCCAAGCUCCAUUCUCAGCAAAGCCAAUGACGUGCGCAGUGGGGUCAACCACAUGUCCCCGACAUACCGCUCACGGAUAAGCCUGAGUUCCAGUCCUGCUCAAAGCCCUGCCAUGAAGAACAGGAUGGUUUCCAGUCUGUCCUUUAAUCGAGGGACCAUGGGAAAGCCUACUGUCAACUCUAACAUCGGGAUCAACCGUGCAGCCUCCUUCCAGAACAGAUUCAAUCCCAACGGCUUUAAUUCCUGUUCAGGGCCUGGCAGUGACAAUGACAGCCUUCAUAGUUCCUCCUCCAGUCUGGAAUACCAGGCAUCGUCCAAAUUGAGCUCCUACACCAGCCCACCACAAAGUCCAAUGGGGGUUGGUGACUACAAAGCCCAGCGUUUGGGAAGCCCUGCUUUGAAGAAGUUUUCCUCUCAUGGGAAUGUGUUCCACUCAGAGCUUGAGGGCCCACUAGUGAUCCCAACUGAGCCGUUGGGUAUUAGCCAUGGCUCCAUGCCCUCGCUGGACCUCCAGAUGGCUGAGAGUGGAGGAAUGAGGCAAGUCGUGUCUCCUGUGUUAUCAAGAUUCCCUAAUGCUCCUGUUACCUGGAACGCACAUCGUCUCCAGAACCACAGCACAAUUGGCAAGGAUCCCUCUUCCAUCAACCAUCAGCCUCCUAAAACCAAGGAGCCUGCUCGACUCAACAAGUUCCCACUUGAUCUUGACAACCUUGUGGUGAAACCCCAGUCUCCUGAUGUGUCUGUGGCACCAAAACCUCCACCAAGGUUCCACCCUGUGUCUCCGAGCCCCACUGUGUCUGCCAGCCCUUCUGCUUCCGUCAGCAGCUUGGACAGCACUGAUCUUCCCCUGGUUCACAGCUACACUACAGAGAAACGUGAGCCUGUCACCCCUACAGGAGCAAUUCCAGUUCCCAACAUCAGUGAAUCUCCUGUCUUGCUCUCCCCCGCCCAGACACCGCUCUUCAAUCUGGUUUCUAAGCCUCAGGUUGUCCAGAUCGCUCCUGCUACAUCGCCACAACCCACACAAGUCAACAUUGUGAGCAGUACAUCACGUAGUGAGUCUCCGGCCAAGGACAGCGUGGGCUCCAUUCUCCAGAGGAUUGCCAGUUUCUCCAGAGUUGAAGCCAGAGUGCCAAUGCCAAGCCCAAGUCCUGUCACAUCUUUAAGCAAUGGAAUCAAGAGAGAGUCUCCAGCUGUACAACAUAAGGAGCUGAAGAGAUCAGAAGGUACGUAAAAAAUCUGUGUUCUGCAUUAAUGAUGUGAGUGAAUCGCUAAUAGACACAUAUACAGAAAUCACUGAUUCCUGUUUACAUCUAGGAAUCUAUCAAUUUUGUCCCAAGCUUAGUUCACAUCCGUGUAUUAGCCCAAGCUACAUGUGCCCACGGUAAUUGCUGAGUCUCUGGCAAUGCUGCCAUACAUCAACCGAGCUUGGGCCAGUUCUUCACGCUAAGUAUUUGGGUUGUUUAAGGUACUCUUUAAGAAGGCAAGGUCUGUACCCACUUAAUACAAUUUAUUUUUUCUAAGACCCUUUUUUUAUUCUUUUGUUACCAUUUGCACUGUGUAAUGAGUCGUUCCACCCCAUAAGCUUUUACUUAAGAACACCAUAUUCUGUCUGUAGGAGAUACCAUUAGCUAAGUAAACAAAUAUGUGCAGGUCUGGAGGCAGGCCUUGUAGCUGAAGUGCUGCUGUCACCACAGCUGUCUUUCCACAUCUCUCCAGUUUACAGCAGUGAAAGGCAGAAAAAAAUUGGGUGAGGCAAGAGGGGAAGAGAAAAAAAAAACAAAAAAAGAAGGAGGAAUUCCUGGCAUAUCAACAAAUAGCUGAGUGUGAACAGUGAUAACAGUGCAGGGAGGCCUGUCAUCACUGCCUAUCCAGUACAGGGGUCCCUUGCGGCCGCAGCCGAGCAGAAUCCUGCCUGAGGCGAUUGAGUCAGGCCUGUUUACAGCACAGGCUCUCAGGUGUGCCACCCCUUGCUUUACCACAGCCCCAGACCUUCAGCCUGUAGUCCCCAUUCACCACGGGGAUCAGCGAGGGGAGAAGAAAAGCCUGUCGGGUGCCUCGGCACUGCAAUUUAAUGGCUUUGUGGCCUGAUUGACAGAAAUGUGUUACAUGUUUGAGACUGAGGCCACAGCCUGCGGGAUAUCAAAGGAAGUGGACUGAACUGCCGCGGUCUGCGGCACGGCGGCAGAGUGUGCAAAAUUACAACUCCGGCAGUGUAUCAUGUCCCCUGGGUCAGGACAUCUGGGUCUUCAAAAAGCUGCUGAUGAAAGCAAGAUGCAUGAACAAAGAGCUGCAUCAUGGAACCCUAACAUGAUGUGGAGGCAAGGAAAGGCAAAAAAAGGAAGGCAAAAAAAAAGCGUGGUUAACGAAGGCAAGGACGAGGGCUUGUCGGAGCUAGUUAGACAGACAGGAUGAGGACGAGGUCUGCUUUCCAUGAGGUUUGUUUACAAACAUCAAACAGCAAUGAGGGAACAUUUGGGGUUGCGGAGCUGGCACUGUGGGCCAACAUGCGGUACUGCGUGUUGAUCAGACCUAAUCUAAGCCACCUAUCCUUCAGAGGGAACCGUGAUGAGACGGCGAGUGGUGGGACAUGUGCAAGCAUUCAGACCCAAGCUGCAGUAAAGACACUGAUUUACAGUUUGAUUUAUGUACAAUAAAUAGUAUUCUUUUAGUUGAAGCCA
rnacentral:lncRNA from 1 species